rnacentral:rRNA from 1 species
GCGACCGGCGCACGGUGAGUAACACGUAUCCAACCUACCCUUUACUCGGGGAUAGCCUUUCGAAAGAAAGAUUAAUACCCGAUAGCAUAAUGAUUCCGCAUGGUUUCAUUAUUAAAGGAUUCCGGUAAAGGAUGGGGAUGCGUUCCAUUAGGUUGUUGGUGGGGUAACGGCCCACCAAGCCUUCGAUGGAUAGGGGUUCUGAGAGGAAGGUCCCCCACAUUGGAACUGAGACACGGUCCAAACUCCUACGGGAGGCAGCAUG